ACAAGCGGUGGAGCAUGUGGUUUAAUUCGAAGAUACGCGAAGAACCUUACCUAGGCUUGACAUUGAUAGAAUCUGCUAGAGAUAGCGGAGUGCUGGCUUGCCAGAGCUUGAAAACAGGUGCUGCACGGCUGUCGUCAGCUCGUGUCGUGAGAUGUUGGGUUAAGUCCCGCAACGAGCGCAACCCUCGUCCUUAGUUGCUAGCAGUUCGGCUGAGCACUCUAAGGAGACUGCCUUCGUAAGGAGGAGGAAGGUGAGGAUGACGUCAAGUCAUCAUGGCCCUUACGCCUAGGGCUACACACGUGCUACAAUGGGGUGUACAAAGAGAAGCAAUACUGUGAAGUGGAGCCAAUC
rnacentral:rRNA from 1 species